rnacentral:tRNA from 1 species
UACAUUAUAGUGUAUGAGCACGUAAAUUUUUGAAGUUUAAAGUAAAAGUUCAAUCCUUUUUUUUGUAA